CAGCGGGGAAGGGUUGCCAUGGCAACCGGGGGCCCUUCGAGGAGGAGAGGACCUCCGGGACUGGGCCUCUGGUGGGCAGGGCCUAGGGGGCGUGUCCCGGGGCGGGGUCGCGCAGAGCAUCCUUGCGAGGAACAGGCCCUGGGGGCCGCCUGGCACCCGUAAAUCCCAGCUUCUUAGCAGGAGUGUCGCAGUUUGUACCUGGUGUUCUCCAGAUUCGACCUCAUUUUUCCCAUUCAAAGCACUGUUGAUUCCUCCCCUGAGAAUUUUUACCUGCCGUUCUGGAAGUGCUACGCCUCUGCUUCUUCCAGCGUCGCUCCGGAGUCUCCACUCCCGCAGAGCUGCCAGAGCCCAGUCCACGUUCUGCCAGCUGCCAGGAGGAUGGAUGGGUGGGUUGGCAGAUGCAGCCCGCCUUCCAGUGAGAGUCCAGCUGUCACCAUGUGUACCGAGUUCGAGGCCUCACAAGGUUGAGGAAUGAAGUCGUGAACCUAAAAGAGGAAGCUAGGAGAGGUUUAACUGGAAAUAAUAAUAAGAAGAAUAGCUCCUGAAUUUUCAGGAGGGGUCUGGGAUGAGUGACCAUCUCGGCACUGUGUCAGGGUAUUUUCUACAGCAAAGUCACGAAGUAGGUAGCUACGGGUUGAACAAUCAACCUGUAGGAUUAUAAGUAGAGUCAUUUAGCUAACACUGAUCUAGUAGGAAGUGAGGCACAUAGCAAGGGUAUACCAGCAAGCAUCAUUACCUUGGCUCAUCUAUCCCUUCUAAAAUGAAAGAACAAAGGCAUUCCUAGAAAGGGGUGGGCGGAUGGGUCCUGAUGCUCUGGUCCCCCACCUGUGCGUCUGAUGCCCUAGCUAGGCUCACUGAGCCAGGUAGUGCUAAUUACCAUCUACUCUCAAGCCACCUUUAUCUGUAGGGAGGCCCACAGGCCUGGUCAUUGAGUGUCCAUCUUGAGGCCUGACUCUCUUUAGAUUCCCCUGCUGGCUGCAAUUUUGAUGCGCACUUCUCCCUGGAGUCCCCAACCCUCCCAACUUGCCUGCCCUUCCCAUCUGACUUAGCUGUGUAUAAUACAGCAGGUGGGUCCGGGGGCAGUCCCGCCCCGGACCAUGCGGGUGACCCACAGCCUCCGCAUUCCAGUGAGAAGACAGGGUCUUGACCCAGUGGGUGAGGAAGGGUGGGGCAAGCUUGGGCUCAGACCUCAGAGGAGGGACUGGGCAGGAACAGCAAAGCCUCCGCACACCAAUCCUGCCUCAGCUUCUGUUUAGAAGUUGAUCGAGUUCUCGAAGGUAAACAGUGAGCCUGGAAAAGGGGAAGUGACGGGGAGGAGGAAGGAAGGAGGAAGGAUGAGAGGAGAGAUGGAAAAAGAGAUGGAAAGAAAGGGAGGGAGGAGAGGUAGGGAAGGGAAAGAUGGGACGGGAGCUCAUCCGCUGCUCAGCCUGUGAGCGCUGCACUCCAGUUCCAGCCCUGCCAUGCUGUCCUAAAUCUUCAUUUCUUCUGUUCCUCGAGUCUGCAGGGCCGAGGGGGCACACAUGAACAACCCGCCCACCCCUUGUUGUUCCGUUCGGGCGUGGCAUCGCCGGGGCCAAGGACAGCCCUGUGCCCACCCUGCCUCACCGUCCUCAUCAGAACCAGGACUCGAUUCCAACGCAGACAGGAGCCCCGGUGUCUCACACAUUCGUGACCAAGGGCCCCGCUCACCUCCCUUGUCCCACAUCCUGGUGUUGGCCGGACACUGACACUGAAAUGACACGAGCAGGGGAGGAGGACCCCGAGCACCGUCCCUUCACCCUCCUGCCGCAUGGGGAAGCACAGGGGAGCGGUGCGGUCGGCUGUAUCAACAUCGAGAAAUGACCUAAAAAUAACUGGUUAAAUUCUGCAAGCGUUUCCACCAUUCUGGUAGCUACGAGCUGCACGGGCAUCCACAAGCUGGGAGUGUGGAAGUGUGGGGUCUUGUGUUUCCACACCAGCGCGCAAGUUCCUGUCUGUGCAUCUACACUAACGUUCUACAAUUUGCAAUAAAGGGCAAAACUCAUGCUAGCAAUGCC
rnacentral:lncRNA from 1 species